AGCAUCCCAAAGAGGAAAAGAACAAUGGUUUUUAAAAGAUUUGAUCCCAAGGGGAGUAAUUCAAAGAUGAAGACAUAUACAUAGAUAUUGCCACUGCCCUGGAAUAUGGAAUAAAGAAGAUAAGAAGUGGAAGAUCUUCUAGUGAGAUCUCCAUAAUGGGACAUGAGUAGCUGUUGAGAAAGCUUCCAGAGAAGAAUACAGAUAGGAGGAGGCCAAUAAGACAGGUUCCUCACCAGUACCUACAGAGGAAGCUGCUAUGGGUAUUAUAAUGGAAACCAAGGUAAUGAGUCUUCAGUUGAAUAAUAAGCAGGGACUGGAAAGGUGACUUCAAGAAACAUGAAGCCCCUACCUUCUUGAGCAGACAUGUUUCCACUCUCCCGUGUUUUCAGAAUCCAUUCCAAGUGGACUAAAAAUUCCACACCAAGAUUUCCCAGUACCCGCCACUGGUGCAAACAGUAUCUAGUGAUGUCUGCACAAGUGUCAGAGAGGUGGAGAAAUCCUUCAUAUCUGUUAAAUGUGGAAUAAAGAGGAGAAUAACUUGAAUUAAA